UACGUAGGGUGCAAGCGUUGUCCGGAAUUAUUGGGCGUAAAGAGCUCGUAGGCGGUUUGUUGCGUCGGCUGUGAAAUCCCGAGGCUCAACCUCGGGUCUGCAGUCGAUACGAGCAAACUAGAGUGUUGCAGGGGAGACUGGAAUUCCUGGUGUAGCGGUGAAAUGCGCAGAUAUCAGGAGGAACACCAAUAGCGAAGGCAGCUCGCUGGGACGGUACUGACGCUAAGGCGCGAAAGCGUGGGGAGCGAACAGG
rnacentral:rRNA from 1 species